GACGAAAAAUAUUCUCAAAUUUUUCUUUCUUUCUUUUUUUUGUCCUUUUCAAACGACUCCCGUUUCCGUCGGUUCUUUCAUUAAUUAUAGUAAAAUGGCUGAAUGGCACAUCACGAUUCCAACCUUGAGUUCACCCUUUAACAUAUAUUCCUCGUUCUUUACUUGCAUGAAACAUAUUUCCAAAUUUUUGAACAAAGUUGAAAAACGAAAGGAAGAAAGGAUUUUUCGUGUCCGACUUAACGGUGUAUCGUGCUUCUCUGUGUUGUUCAGGGAGAGGAUCCGACUUUACAUCGGGCAAGUGUAAGGAAGAAGAAAAA
rnacentral:lncRNA from 1 species